CUGUCGGAUCAUAUCCAGCUGCUAAAGCAUCCGGAUCCCAUCAGAACUCCGAAGUUAAGCGUGCUUGGGCGAGAGUAGUACAUAGGAUGGGUGACCUCCUGGGAAGUCCUCGUGUUGCAUCCC
rnacentral:rRNA from 1 species